GACGAACGCUGGCGGCGUGCCUAAUACAUGCAAGUCGAACGCUUCCUACCGGUGCUUGCACCGGGAAAGAAGAGUGGCGGACGGGUGAGUAACACGUGGGUAACCUACCUACAAGCGGGGGAUAACAUUCGGAAACGGAUGCUAAUACCGCAUAGAUCUUUUUGUCUCCUGGCAGAAAGAAGAAAGACGGUUUCGGCUGUCACUUGUAGAUGGACCCGCGGCGCAUUAGUUAGUUGGUGAGGUAAUGGCUCACCAAGACGAUGAUGCGUAGCCGACCUGAGAGGGUGAUCGGCCACACUGGGACUGAGACACGGCCCAGACUCCUACGGGAGGCAGCAGUAGGGAAUCUUCCGCAAUGGACGAAAGUCUGACGGAGCAACGCCGCGUGAGUGACGAAGGUUUUCGGAUCGUAAAACUCUGUUGUUAGAGAAGAACAAGGAUGAGAGUAACUGCUCGUCCCUUGACGGUAUCUAACCAGAAAGCCAUGGCUAGCUACGUGCCAGCAGCCGCCGUAA
rnacentral:rRNA from 1 species